GAUGAACGCUGGCGGCGUGCCUAAUACAUGCAAGUCGAGCGAACGGACGCGAAGCUUGCUUCUCUGACGAUAGGGGCGGACGGGUGAGUAACACGUGGAUAACCUACCUAAAAGAAUGGAACAAAUUGGGGAAACAGGAGCUAACACGGGCUAAUAUUUUAUAACAGUUGGUGCAAAAUGGCAAAACGGUCUUGCGGUCAUUCAUGGAUGGAUCCGCGCUGCAUUAGCUAGUUGGUAAGGUAACGGCUUACCAAGGCAACGAUGCAUAGCCGACCUGAGAGGGUGAUCGGCCACACUGGAACUGAGACACGGUCCAGACUCCUACGGGAGGCAGCAGUAGGGAAUCUUCCGCAAUGGGCGAAAGCCUGACGGAGCAACGCCGCGUGAGUGAUGAAGGUCUUCGGAUCGUAAAACUCUGUUAUUAGGGAAGAACAUGUGUGUAAGUAACUGUGCGCAUCUUGACGGUACCUAAUCAGAAAGCCACGGCUAACUACGUG
rnacentral:rRNA from 1 species